rnacentral:rRNA from 1 species
AGAGUUUGAUCCUGGCUCAGGAUGAACGCUGGCGGCGUGCCUAAUACAUGCAAGUCGAACGCUGGAGAUCUAGCUUGCUAGAUCGAAGGAGUGGCGAACGGGUGAGUAAUACAUAAGCAACCUACCCACGAAGACUGGGAUAAUCUCUGGAAACGGGGACUAAUACCGGAUAGGUAAUCGGAAGGCAUCUUCUGGUUAUUAAAGGUUAAAAACACUGGUGGAUGGGCUUAUGGCGCAUUAGUUAGUUGGUGAGGUAACGGCCCACCAAGACGAUGAUGCGUAGCCGGCCUGAGAGGGUGAACGGCCACAUUGGGACUGAGACACGGCCCAGACUCCUACGGGAGGCAGCAGUAGGGAAUUUUCGGCAAUGGGGGCAACCCUGACCGAGCAACGCCGCGUGAGUGAAGACGGCCUUCGGGUUGUAAAGCUCUGUUGUAAGGGAAGAACGGUAGAUAGAGAAUAUCUAAGUGACGGUACCUUACCAGAAAGCCACGGCUAACUACGUGCCAGCAGCCGCGGUAAUACGUAGGUGGCGAGCGUUAUCCGGAAUUAUUGGGCGUAAAGGGUGCGUAGGCGGCCUGUUAAGUAAGUGGUUAAAUUGUUGGGCUCAACCCAAUCCAGCCACUUAAACUGGCAGGCUAGAGUAUUGGAGAGGCAAGUGGAAUUCCAUGUGUAGCGGUAAAAUGCGUAGAUAUAUGGAGGAACACCAGUGGCGAAGGCGGCUUGCUAGCCAAAGACUGACGCUCAUGCACGAAAGCGUGGGGAGCAAAUAGGAUUAGAUACCCUAGUAGUCCACGCCGUAAACGAUGAAUACUAAGUAUUGGGGAAACUCAGUGCUGCAGCUAACGCAAUAAGUAUUCCGCCUGUGGAGUAUGCACGCAAGUGUGAAACAUAAAGGAAUUGACGGGGGCCCGCACAAGCGGUGGAGUAUGUGGUUUAAUUCGACGCAACGCGAAGAACCUUACCAGGCCUUGACAUCCCUUGCAAAGCUGUAGAGAUACAGUAGAGGUUAUCAAGGAGACAGGUGGUGCAUGGUUGUCGUCAGCUCGUGUCGUGAGAUGUUGGGUUAAGUCCC